GAGAUGAGGUUUUGCCAUGUUGGCCAGGCUGGUCUGGAACUUCUGACCUCAAGUGAUCCACCUGCCUCUGCCUCCCAAAGUGGUGGGAUUACAGAUGUGAGAUACCAUGCCCAGCCCAAGGGAGUGAUUAUUUCAAUCACAAGACAUGAAAUCAGGAUGAUGAACACAUUUGGCAAGAAUCUAGUUCCAGGAAACAUGUUUUGAUGCUGCUUAACACAGCUUUUGGAAGUUGAUGAACAUCAUCAAAGUGUGAACCCAUCUCAGCUGACAAGGGGGACACAAAUUUGCUGCCUUCCUAUGUCAGCAUCUGAAGAGAUGGCAUGUGGAUGGGAACCAGCCAGGACAGCUGUGGAGGCAGCCAUAUCGCUGAAGAAGUGCAGGCUGCACCUGACCUUUCCCAGUGACCAAGGCAGUGCACACAGGGCCACACAGGGACAUCCUUCCAUGUUUUAUGGUUUUUGUUUGACUGAUGAUGACAUUACUGUUUAGACAUUUGGACUGCAAGGAGAAAUCCCACCACAGAUAAGUAGAUCGUCUUGUCUUUGCAUGGGCAUGCUGCCCUGGCUUGUCUGAUGUGUGCAUUAUGGGACGUAUGCACAGGAACAGCUCAGUUACCCACUCACCAGUCGUGAGGGUGCAAGACCUCUAAAAGUGAGGCCUGUAACUUGUUCAUCUUCAAGAUAGAGACUUCACAUUUCGGUGUAAUCACCAUCAACACUUACUGAAUUGAUCCGAAUUCAAUAAAUAUGAAUUCACGGAUAAUCUGCCAAAUUUAAAAUAUUGCCCUAGUGGUUUGGGGUGCACAGAGUUAAGUGAAACCACCCAUUCUUAGGGAUCAUCCAAUGCAGGAGUGCUGGCAUAUUCAUCAGCAAGGGCUGUCACACAGAACAUCACAGGCCCUGUGCUUACGCAACCGUUUCUGCUGAGGCCUCUCUUCCUGCUUAUAGACAGUGCCUUUUCACUUUGAGCUUGCUUGGCCUCUUCUCUGUGCAUGCACAGAGAGAGAGAAAGGGAGAACAGGCAGCCUCUGGCGCCUCUUCCUGUUCUCAUGACACUAGUUAAUAAGGUUCGGUUCUGUGUCCCCACCCAAAUCUCAUCUUGAAUUGUAGCUCCCAUAAUUCCUACUUGUUGUGAGAGGACCUGGUGGGAGAUAAUUGAAUCGUGGGGGUAGUUUCUCCCCACACUAUUCUCAUGAUAGUGAAUAAGUCUCAUGAGAUCUGAUGAUUUUAUAAGGGGUUUCCCCUUGGCUUGGUUUUCAUUCUCUCUUGCCUGCUGUCAUGUAAGAUGUGUCUUUCACCUUCCAUCAUGAUUGUGAGGCCUCUCCAGCCACGUGGAACUGUGAGUCCAUUAAACUUCUUUUUCUUUAUAAAUUACCCAGUCUUUGGUAUGUCUUUAUCAGCAGUGUGGAAAUAGACUAACACACCAGUCCUAUUGGAUUAGGGCCCCACCCUUACGACCUGACUAGACCUUAAUUACUUUCCUGAAGGCCCCAUCUCUAAUAUAGUCACACUGGAGGGUUAGGGCUUCAACACAUGAAUUUGGCUGGGGAGGCACAGUUCAGUACACAACAGAUGGGAACCAUCUUUUUUUUUCUGUUUCAACUUUUUUUUCAGUAUCAACUUUUUGUUUUGUUACAGUGAUUUAGCAUAAAACAAGUAGACACUAAUGUAACAUGCUCACUUAAAAUUCCAAGAAUUCUCAAAAAUUCUCGUACUAUGAACUGACCUUCUUAGUUUCUAAAACUGAAGAAAUCAUUGUAAUUUAAAACAUAAAUCAUCUCAAUCAUAAACAUUAAGAGUUUCCUUGGUGUUCACUCUUGGGAUAUUUCAAAAGAUGAUAAAGUAUGAAAUUAAGCAGAGCCUAUUAAGAUCAACCAUUUUUUAUUAUAUGACCUAUUCAUUUCAAAAUGUAGAUGCACAUAAUAAAUAAGUUUUCCAGUGUGUGCCUGCUCAGAGGUUUCUACACUCUCAGAAAGAAACCAAGCUAAUUACACAUGAAAUAUCAACUGGUGAGCAAUUAUAACCUGAAAAAUACCCUCAUGAUUUUGUAUAUUUUAUAAAUUUAUGAGUUGGGCAAAAAAUGUUAUAUCUAUACCAUGAAUUCAGAAACAGUGGUAAAAUAUGGUCAUAACAAACAGUAUGUGUAUAUAUACACACACGUAUACACAUACACACAUUAUACAUACACGUACCUCAUACACACACACACCUCAUACACACACACCCACACACCCACACCCACCACUAUCAUAAACUUCUGCUUUUAUUUGGCUGGUAAUAUGUACAAAUGAAUAUUUCUGAUUUGUUAGCUUUCUUGGCAUAUUUCUGUCUAAUUUUUUUAAUCUCUCCUCCUUCUUUUCAGAUAAGAAAAACAUGCUCUCUCUUCUCUAAUGAUUGGACAGACUCCUACUCCAAAACAGAAGAUCUCAACUCUGGAAGGGAGGAGAAACAAGACCCCCAGGACUUGUCAAUGGCACACAUGAAAGACAGAAAACACCAGAAGCCAGUCUUCAGCCUGCUGGCCCAGCCAUGGCCACUGUAACGUACGGCUAAACCCCUGCCCCGAUCAGCUCUCAAGGCUCUGAGCCAACUGCCUAGACCGUCUAUUUGAGAUCCCUGAGAGUUUCAACACAGGGCAUGGCUGACCUCUCCACCGUGUCAUUUCCAGUAAUGCGGCCUCACUGAUAGCAGAAGUUCGGAGAGCUCUUGUCAGAGAGGCCAGCUGGCACCAUGUGAGUCUUACCCAGAGGGAAACCUGACAAUCUUCCAGCAUGCUCACCAGACUGGGGCACUGACUUUUGUCACUUGAUUCUCAACUCACAGUCUCAAGAUGCUGGUGCUAAUGUACAUUGCAGCUGACACUGGAGUUUAUUUUUAUAACUGCUCUUGCCUCAGAAAAAGCUCCAUCCCAGUACGACUUCCAGGACAGGGAUGGUCUGGAUGCUGCAGUUAGGACAAUGAUCAUCUCGUUCUCUUAGUGGUUAGGAAUCCUGUGGGCUUAUGGAAUAAGCUCGCUGAAACAGACAGUGACAUCCACGGUGACACUGACCGAAUUGUGCUCCAGUGGCCUAGAGAGUGCCUAUUAUUUAUCUCAUUUCUGUUCUGCAUAAUAACACCAACCAAACCGCUAAUGAAUGAAUAUUAUUACAUGCUUUGGUAGGAACGCAAAGGCAAAUUGGGCUCACUGUAGAGAAUAUCUUGCUCCUCAUUUUGUAUUAAAAUGCCUAGACGCCCCUCAAGAGACCAUGUCAAGGAUGAAAUUUAUCCACUGCCUGCAUUUGCUAAUUUGAAAGAGUUCUGAUUUCAUCUGCCGGGCUUAAUAUAGAAAUUCUUUUAACCUGAACAGAUACACAGAAAUGUGGAAUUUAUUCAAUGCCAUUUUCUUGAUUUAUGUCAGGAAAUAUAUAUGGCUAUGCUGUCAUCUUUUUAUAUAUAGACAUCAAUAUAUAUAAAUAUAUAGAGUCAAGUCAGAAAUUCUGAAACCACAUUGCACUUAGCCCUUACAGCAUAAUGCUUUCCAUAUUCUUCACAGUUUGUUUCCCUGAUCCUUUAGAGAGAGCUACUGUGUUUAAAGUGUAAACCAUUUUUACAGAAAAAAUGUAUUACAAUUCUAUAUGAUAAUUCUCAAAGUUCAGGAAAAUAAUCUGAAAUAAACAUUCUAAAUUGAGGAAUGAAUAAUAAAGACUCAUCAAUUGGGCUGGGAGCAGUGGCUCACGCCUGUAAUCUCAGUACUUUGGGAGACCGAGGCAGGCGGAUCACCUGAGGUCAGCCUGGC
rnacentral:lncRNA from 10 species